AUUGAACGCUGGCGGCAGGCCUAACACAUGCAAGUCGAGCGAGUGGCGGACGGGUGAGUAAUGUAUGGGGAUCUGCCUGAUAGAGGGGGAUAACUACUGGAAACGGUAGCUAAUACCGCAUACUAUCGGAUGUACCCAUAUGGGAUUAGCUAGUUGGUGGGGUAAAGGCUCACCAAGGCGACGAUCUCUAGCUGGUCUGAGAGGAUGAACAGCCACACUGGAACUGAGACACGGCCCAGACUCCUACGGGAGGCAGCAGUGGGGAAUAUUGCACAAUGGGCGCAAGCCUGAUGCAGCCAUGCCGCGUGUAUGAAGAAGGCCUUAGGGUUGUAAAGUACUUUCAGCGGGGAGGCGUUACCCGCAGAAGAAGCACCGGCUAACUCCGUGCCAGCAGCCGCGGUAAUUC
rnacentral:rRNA from 1 species